rnacentral:tRNA from 1 species
AAUUUAUAUAGUUUAAAAAAACAUUACAUUUUCAUUGUAAAAAUAAAAAUUUAUUUUUUAUAAAU